GGUGUGUUAGCUCAACUGGUUGAGCGGUGUGUUUCGGCCACGCUGGUUAUAAGUUCGAAUCUUAUACGCACUU
rnacentral:tRNA from 1 species